rnacentral:rRNA from 1 species
AGUGAACGCUGGCGGUAGGCCUAACACAUGCAAGUCGAACGGCAGCACAGUAAGAGCUUGCUCUUACGGGUGGCGAGUGGCGGACGGGUGAGGAAUACAUCGGAAUCUACUUUUUCGUGGGGGAUAACGUAGGGAAACUUACGCUAAUACCGCAUACGACCUACGGGUGAAAGCAGGGGAUCUUCGGACCUUGCGCGAUUGAAUGAGCCGAUGUCGGAUUAGCUAGUUGGCGGGGUAAAGGCCCACCAAGGCGACGAUCCGUAGCUGGUCUGAGAGGAUGAUCAGCCCCACUGGAACUGAGACACGGUCCAGACUCCUACGGGAGGCAGCAGUGGGAAUAUUGGACAAUGGGCGCAAGCCUGAUCCAGCCAUACCGCGUGGGUGAAGAAGGCCUUCGGGUUGUAAAGCCCUUUUGUUGGGAAAGAAAAGCAGCAGGUUAAUACCCCGCUGUUCUGACGGUACCCAAAGAAUAAGCACCGGCUAACUUCGUG